CCUCCAGAUCUCCUAUCACUUUGGAGUGUCCAAGGUGCUUGUAGAAGAAGGAAGAGGUCAACUGUCAAAAUUAUUCACAGACUAGCAUCUUCGAGCCCCUGAUCUACAUCAGUCUUCGCAUGGAUUUUUUUUGUAGAGGUCGGACAACUUCAUGUGGCUAUAAAUAAUAUGAGAAAUAUCUUCUUCAACUAUUAGAUCAG
rnacentral:lncRNA from 1 species